UACGUAGGGCGCAAGCGUUGUCCGGAAUUAUUGGGCGUAAAGAGCUCGUAGGCGGCUUGUCACGUCGGGUGUGAAAGCCCGGGGCUUAACCCCGGGUCUGCAUUCGAUACGGGCUAGCUAGAGUGUGGUAGGGGAGAUCGGAAUUCCUGGUGUAGCGGUGAAAUGCUUAGAUAUCGGGAGGAACACCAGUGGCGAAGGCGGUGUUCUGGGCCGGUACUGACGCUGAGACGCGAAAGCGUGGGGAGCGAACAGG
rnacentral:rRNA from 1 species